AGAAUCAACGCUGGCGGCGUGCCUAACACAUGCAAGUCGAACGAGAAAGUGGAGCAAUCCAUGAGUAAAGUGGCGCACGGGUGAGUAACACGUGACUAACCUACCCUUGAGUGGGGAAUAACCUAGGGAAACCUGGGCUAAUACCGCAUAACACCUACGGGUCAAAGGAGCAAUUCGCUUAAGGAGGGGGUCGCGGCAGAUUAGCUAGUUGGCGGGGUAAUGGCCCACCAAGGCAGUGAUCUGUA
rnacentral:rRNA from 1 species